rnacentral:rRNA from 1 species
CCUACGGGUGGCUGCAGCCGAGAAUAUUUCGCAAUGGACGCAAGUCUGACGAAGCGAUGUCGCGUGAUGGAUGAAGAGCUUCGGUUUGUAAACAUCUUUUAUGCGGGAAGAACGUUGACGGUACCGCAUGAAUAAGGGGUUGCUAAACUCGUGCCAGCAGCAGCGGUAAUACGAGUACCCCGAGCAUUAUCCGGAAUUAUUGGGCGUAAAGGGUGAGUAGGCGGUGCAAUUAGUCGUGUGUUAAAUCCCAGAGCUUAACUUUGGAUUCGCACACGAAACGGUUGCUCUAGAGAAUGUGAGAGGUGAAUGGAACUCAUAGUGUAGGGGUGAAAUCCGUUGAUAUUAUGGGGAACACCAAAUGCGAAGGCAAUUCACUGGCACAUUUCUGACGCUCAAUCACGAAAGCGUAGGUAGCGAAUGGGAUUAGAUACCCAAGUAGUC